rnacentral:lncRNA from 1 species
UCCUUUUAAAAUACUUUGGACUCCAAACUAAGUCUGCACCAGAGAUUCAGGUAAGGGGGUUCAUUUGACUCGGGGAGAAGGUGUUAGGCACUUCCCAAGUCCCGUGAAGGUCACGGUUGCGUACUCAAUCUAGUUGACUUUUAAAACAUUCAAAUUGAGGUAAAAUCACAAACAAAGAAAACAAACACAAAAGAGGCUCGAGGUCAUCCCCACCUAAAUGAAAGAAAAUUAAAAGAAGGAAAAUUAAAAUUCUAAAUUAUCCUACGCUACUUCUUCUACGAUGUUCGUCACGACUUCCAAUUACAGAAUACUACGGGGCAUUCCCCGGUAUAAACUAUGUACAAAUACCUCGGGGCAAUCCCCGGAUAAAUAAACCAAAGGGGGCGACCUCUCACCUCAUAUAAAAGAAAAGAAAAGGGAAUCCUAAAGUUUGCCUACCCGAGUGUGGUCGGCUUACCAUACUCCUACCGUUAAAAUAAUAAAGUAAAACAAUUAACAUGAUAAACUCAGAUUUUCCUUCUUAAUAUCCAACCCCCCACGAUCCGUUUCGCACAAGAGAGCGCAUGAGCUGUGAUCAAACGGAACGAACAAAGAAUUAGAAAUAAACGUUCCAUCAAACGAGCACUGGAAACAUUCAAAGAAUCUAAAUAGGCAAAUAACCAAAACUAUAAAAACACUAAACAAAACCUAAGUAAUGAUGACUAAACCAAGCUAUUAAAGAAAGUGUUAACAGAUAUCCAAGCUUAUCCAUUUUUGCUAGUUUCUCUAUCAUUUCAGAUAUUCUAACUCACACCAACUCUAACUUAAGAAAUUAUGUAUUCUUCUCAAAUCAAUUACGUACUGUUACUUCCUUUUCGAAAUCACUCAAGCACACAAACCACUGCCGUCCAAAUUAAAAUUUAACUUCAUAUGAAAAAUUGGUAGGAGUCUCUAACUAAGGAAGAAGAAAGCUAAGAAAUCAAAUCCACCGAGUGAAGACGGAAUCGAAAAAGUGAAUAGUAACUGAAGCUUGCAAACAUUAGGCCUAAGACAUGUAUAUUCAUAUUUUAUUAACACACUGCCAAAAUUUACUAAUUUAACAUUAAAUUAUCACAACUAAAAUAAGACAAGAAAAUUGUAUUUAAAAGCUUCAAGUGGAUAGGCUUCAUAUAUGUAGGCAAUAGAAAAAAAACUUUUGGAAGUAAAUUUUAUCACAAGCUGGAUUGCCAAAAGGAAAAACUAACUAAAAUUUUCGUUGGGAAAAUUGUUCCAACACCCGAAUUACUCAGACCCUACAACUUGGAAUGGAGAUAAUCGAGUCUACCGAUAUUAAUGAUAGAUUCCUCUACAUCCUAAAUUUUGUUUUGGUAAUGUGAGGCUAAAUAAUUCUGACACCUAAAGAAUAACUAAAAUCAAUAAUCAGAUUAUACUACUUAGUUGAAAUAAAGCACAUGUUAGCUACUGACAAAGUGUUUUGUUUCUUUGAGCACGAAAUUUGUUCAAGAUCAGAAAGCAAUUUAACAAAGGAUGACGACCAGACAAACACAAACCCUACAAUCCAUAGCAAACAAAAAAAUAACAAGAAGAGACAGAGCUGAGAGGAACCUGUUGAGCCCAAAAAUCCUUUAAGGUUUUGAGAACAAUUAGAUACAAACUCCAAAUUUACGAAAUCUGUCCAAGAAAACAGCAACAAUUUCGAAACAAAGACCGCGAACCAGUGGUGAAACUCCAAUCCGCAACGGAAAUCUCCAAUUGGACUUAAACUCAAGUGACCUCUAUCCUCCAAUUUUGAAAUGAAGAAUCGAAAAUCCAAAGAAGCAAGCAGAAUGUUUUUCCUUUUUUUUUUUAUCGUUUUUGUAUAUAUAAUUUUUUUGGGGUGUUGCUCGAAGGUUGUUGAUUUCAAAUAUUAACGUUGUUGGUGAGAUUUUGCCCAAGAAUUUAUCCUUGCAAAGUUCUAGAGGCAACUUCUAUAUUUUCUCAUUGGUUUUGUGAUUAAACAAUGGAAUCAAACUAUACACAGGUUGAGAAAUUGAUUUCCGUUGUGGAGAUGAGCGACUAUAGUGUUGGAGAAUUGGUGGGAUGUGGAUGGCGCCGCUGCUCUUCCUCUUUUUCCGCAAUGAAAUAGAUCAUGAAUUAAAGAGGAGGAUAUCUUAGAUAUUAGGGUUAGGUUAG